GAUUCAAACUUUACCGGUCGCCGUGGUAAGACCUAGGAUUUACCAUAUCGGUGUUGGUAAAAGCCCGAAGUAAACUAGUAAGAUUUAACAUUUCGGGCUUUUACCGAUCGGCAUCGGUAAAACCUAGGUUUUACCGGUAAAUCCUAGGUUUUGCCGUACUUCGGGCUUUUACAGUAACAUAUAUAUAUA